UACGGGAGGCAGCAGUGGGGAAUAUUGCACAAUGGGCGCAAGCCUGAUGCAGCCAUGCCGCGUGUAUGAAAAAGGCCUUCGGGUUGUAAAGUACUUUCAGUCGUGAGGAAGGUGUUAAGGUUAAUAACCUUAGCAAUUGACGUUAGCGACAGAAGAAGCACCGGCUAACUCCGUGCCAGCAGCCGCGGUAAUACGGAGGGUGCGAGCGUUAAUCGGAAUUACUGGGCGUAAAGGGCACGCAGGCGGUUAAUUAAGUUGGAUGUGAAAUCCCCGGGCUUAACCUGGGAAUGGCAUUCAAGACUGGUUAGCUAGAGUCUUGUAGAGGGGGUAGAAUUCCAUGUGUAGCGGUGAAAUGCGUAGAGAUGUGGAGGAAAUACCGGUGGGCGAAAGGCGGGCCCCCUGGGACAAAGGACUGACGCUCAUGUGCGAAAAGCGUGGGGAGCGAAAACAGGGAUUAGAUACC
rnacentral:rRNA from 1 species